GUUUCUGGGUUUCUGAAGAAGUUACUGGGUUUCUGAAGAAGUUACUGGGUUUCUGAAGAGGUUACUGGGUUUCACUGGGUUUCUGAAGAGGUUACUGGGUUUCUGAAGAAGGGACUGGGUUUCAUUACUGGGUUUCUGAAGAGGUUACUGGGUUUCUGAAGAAGGUACUGGGUUUCAUUACUGGGUUUCUGAAGAGGUUACUGGGUUUCUACAAAGGCUCCUGGGUUUCCAAACACAUUACUGGAUUUCUGAAGAAGUUGCUGGAUUCUCCUUCCGCUUCUUCCUUUUCUUUAUUCUCCUUUUUUCUUCUCCUACCAUUCCUUGUUUUUCCCUCCAUCUUCAUUUCCCUCACCUUUUCCUCAUUCUGCUUUAUCUUCUCAUCCAUUUUCUCCUCCUUUUUAAUCUUCACUUUAGUCUUGCUCUCCUCUUCUCAUCUUUUACUUCAUCCUCCUCUCCUUCUUCACCAUCUUCUCCUUGUUCUUCUUUCCCCUAUUUUUUGUCC
ensembl:lncRNA